CCUACGGUGUGCAGCAGUCGAGAAUCAUUCAUAAUGGGGGAAACCCUGAUGGUGCGACGCCGCGUGGGGGAAUGCAGGUCUUCGGAUUGUAAACCCCUGUCAUGUGGGAGCAAAUUAAAAAGAUAGUACCACAAGAGGAAGAGACGGCUAACUCUGUGCCAGCAGCCGCGGUAAUACAGAGGUCUCAAGCGUUGUGCGGAAUCACUGGGCGUAAAGCGUGCGUAGGCUGUUUCGUAAGUCGUGUGUGAAAGGCGCGGGCUCAACCAGCGGACGGCACAUGAUACUGCGAGGCUAGAGUAAGGGAGGGGGAACCGGAAUUCUCGGUGUAGCAGUGAAAUGCGUAGAUAUCGAGAGGAACACUCGUGGCGAAGGCGGGUUCCUGGACAUUAACUGCCGCUGAGGCACGAAGGCCAGGGGAGCGAAAGGGAUUAGAUACCCGAGUAGUC
rnacentral:rRNA from 1 species